GCCUCCUUCAACAUCCGCAAGUUCUUCGGCGUCACGAUCCUACAAAUGGGACUCGUUUUGAAAGCUGGAGUAGAUGUAAAAAUCUGUGUGACUUGUGGUAGAUUGACUUCUCGGGUGAGGGUGUAUCUCCGCUUACGAAUGAGUAAUCAAUGAAGUAUCCGGUCAUGUUCCCUCGCACAUUU
rnacentral:snoRNA from 1 species